rnacentral:rRNA from 1 species
AUUGAACGCUGGCGGCAUGCUUUACACAUGCAAGUCGAACGGCAGCGCGGGCUUCGGCCUGGCGGCGAGUGGCGAACGGGUGAGUAAUAUAUCGGAACGUACCCAAGAGUGGGGGAUAACGUAGCGAAAGUUACGCUAAUACCGCAUACGAUCUAAGGAUGAAAGCAGGGGAUCGCAAGACCUUGUGCUCCUGGAGCGGCCGAUAUCUGAUUAGCUAGUUGGUGAGGUAAAGGCUCACCAAGGCAACGAUCAGUAGCUGGUCUGAGAGGACGACCAGCCAAACUGGAACUGAGACACGGUCCAGACUCCUACGGGAGGCAGCAGUGGGGAAUUUUGGACAAUGGGGGCAACCCUGAUCCAGCAAUGCCGCGUGAGUGAAGAAGGCCUUCGGGUUGUAAAGCUCUUUUGUCAGGGAAGAAAAGGUCGUGGCUAAUAUCCACGACUGCUGACGGUACCUGAAGAAUAAGCACCGGCUAACUACGUGCCAGCCGCCGCCGUAACAC